rnacentral:rRNA from 1 species
CCUACGGGAGGCAGCAGUGGGGAAUAUUGCGCAAUGGGCGAAAGCCUGACGCAGCGACGCCGCGUGAGGGAUGAAGGUCUUCGGAUCGUAAACCUCUGUCAGCAGGGAAGAACGGUCACUGUGCUAAUCAGCAGUGAAUUGACGGUACCUGCAAAGGAAGCACCGGCUAACUCCGUGCCAGCAGCCGCGGUAAUACGGAGGGUGCGAGCGUUAAUCGGAAUUACUGGGCGUAAAGCUAUCGUAGGCGGUAUGUCAAGUCAACGGUGAAAUCCCCGCGCUCAACGUGGGAACUGCCUUUGAAACUGGCAGACUGGAGUGUGUGAGAGGAUAGUGGAAUUCCAGGUGUAGGAGUGAAAUCCGUAGAUAUCUGGAGGAACAGCAGUGGCGAAGGCGACUAUCUGGCACAUAACUGACGCUGAGGAGCGAAAGCGUGGGUAGCAAACAGGAUUAGAUACCCUGGUAGUC